GGUACGUGCACUAUUUGUGGGGUGGAAGAUGAAAGCACUUUUCAUGCUCUGGUGAGGUGUCCUAAAGCUCGUACUCUGCGGUUCGCCUUGAGAGACUCUUGGAAUAUUCCGGAUGAAGAGCUCUUCAAAUGCUCGGGUCCAGACUGGCUUUUGAGUUUGCUAGAUCAGUUGAGCCUACAGCAGCGAGAACAAAUUUUAUUCCUCUUCUGGCAAGCUUGGCAUCUGAGAAAUGAUUUAAUUUUUGGAAAAGGGAAACAAUCCAUUUCUAACUCGGCAAAUUUUGUGCAAAUUUAUUGGUCCUCCUUUUCGGCCAACCACGACGCUAUACAAUUGGAUUCUCGCGACAAAGGUAAGGAAAAGGUGAGAGGUGUUAUUGCGGAUUUUUCCUCGGUGGAAGAGCAUGAGGUGUGGAAAGUUCCUCCUUCGGAUUAUAUCAAGAUCAAUGUCGAUGCUAGUUUUGUGGAGAGUAUUAAUGCUACCAGUGUGGGAGUUGUCGCUAGGAAUUCGUCUGGCGAAGGGAUUUUAUUGGUCAGUGUACUAGUGUCAAUGAAGCCGAGCUCCGCGCCUGCCUAG
rnacentral:rRNA from 1 species